ACCUCUCUAGUUAAAGUAGUAUAACACCUGGUCUUAGAUCAGAAAGUAUAGGUGUAAAUCCUGUGAGAGGAA
rnacentral:tRNA from 1 species